GUUUUCACAGUAUAAAGUGAUCAACAAUUUAGUAUUUUAGCAUGACAAAAAUAAAAAAUUAUGUCUAAAGUUCUUAAAUUUGUUUAUGUUAUGAUUAUUUUUCUUUUCUUAUUCAUCAAAAGUUCGUGUUAUGUUGGAUUGGAUUUAUGCAGUUCUGAUAAAGAUUGUCCUCGUAUACCUUGUUUGUUUACUGGAGUUCCAAAGUGCAUAGAUCACAUUUGUGAAUGUGUAUAAUAUUAAUGGUACUUCUAACAUACAUCUGUUAUAGUUGUUUAAUAAAUGAUAUUAUUUUUAUCAUUUCUUUCAUGCUUUAAUAAUUGGUUUUUGUUCCUUUAAAUUUAUUUGAUCAAUUUAAAACUAUAUUAUUAUAUGGUGCAA